rnacentral:rRNA from 1 species
AGAGUUUGAUCAUGGCUCAGAAUGAACGCUGGCGGCGUGCCUAACACAUGCAAGUCGAACGAGAAAGGUAGCAAUACUGAGUACAGUGGCGCACGGGUGAGUAAUACGUGAGAAUCUGCCUCUGAGUGGAGAAUACCUUCGAGAAAUCGAAGUUAAUACUGCAUAAGCCCGCAAGGGGAAAGGUGGCCUAAAAGCUACCGCUGAGAGAUGAGCUUGCGUCCUAUUAGCUAGUUGGUGGGGUAAAGGCCUACCAAGGCAAAGAUGGGUAGCCGGCCUGAGAGGGUGAUCGGCCACACUGGAACUGAGACACGGUCCAGACUCCUACGGGAGGCAGCAGUGGGGAAUAUUGCACAAUGGGCGAAAGCCUGAUGCAGCGACGCCGCGUGGAGGAUGAAGGUUUUCGGAUUGUAAACUCCUGUUAAGUGGGAAGAAAGACUCAUACCUAAUACGUAUGGGGGAUGACGGUACCACUAGAGAAAGCACCGGCAAACUUCGUGCCAGCAGCCGCGGUAAUACGAAGGGUGCGAGCGUUAUUCGGAAUAACUGGGUGUAAAGAGUGUGUUGGCGGUUUCUUAAGUCAGUUGUUAAAGCGCUCGGCUUAACCGGGCAAAUGCGAUUGAAACUGGGAGACUAGAGUAUGGGAGAGAAAGGUAGAAUUCUCGGAGUAGCGGUAAAAUGCGUAGAUCUCGAGAGGAAUACCGGUUGCGAAGGCGGCCUUUUGGCCCAUUACUGACGCUUAAGCACGAAAGCGUGGGGAGCAAACAGGAUUAGAUACCCUGGUAGUCCACGCCGUAAACGAUGAUCACUAGAUGUGGGUUUUGCAUAGCAGAAUCUGUGUCGUAGCUAACGCGUUAAGUGAUCCACCUGGGGAGUACGGUCGCAAGAUUAAAACUCAAAGGAAUUGACGGGGGUCCGCACAAGCGGUGGAACAUGUGGUUUAAUUCGACACUACGCGAGGAACCUUACCUGGGUUUGACAUGUAAUCGCUACUGGUGGAAACAUUGGGUUCCGUAGCAAUACGGACGGUUACACAGGUGCUGCAUGGCUGUCGUCAGCUCGUGUCGUGAGACGUCGGGUUAAGUCCUUGAACGAGCGCAACCCUUGCCGUUAGUUGCAAGACCGAAAGGUAUGCACUCUAGCGGGACUGCCUAGGAAACUAGGAGGAAGGUGGGGAUGACGUCAAGUCCUCAUGGCCCUUAUGCCCAGGGCUACACACGUGUUACAAUGGCGAGGAACAGAGGGAUGCAAGACCGCGAGGUGGAGCAAAUCCCAUAAAACUCGUCUAAGUUCAGAUUGUAGUCUGCAACCCGACUACAUGAAGCUGAAAUCGCUAGUAAUCGCAUAUCAGAACGAUGCGGUGAAUACGUUCUCGGACCUUGUACACACCGCCCGUCACACCACGAAAGCCGUCUACACCCGAAAUUGUCUAAGCUAACCGUAAAAGGGGGCGGAUAAUGAAGGUGAGGAGGGUGAUUGGGGUGAAGUCGUAACAAGGUA